GAUACGACUUCAUAUGCCAAAAAUUUAACCUUACUAGUCCUUUAGCUCAUUCACACCAAAUCCAAAUGUACAGGGUGUUACAAUUAACUUUGCAGGUGGCAGCUUAAAAGUUAAAAAGUAUUGAAGAUUUCAAUAUGUAACCAGUAAUUAACAAAUGAUUUAUGCAAAAUAUGUUGUAGAGAAUUUAGCUCACAUCUCUAUAUUCUAUUUACUGGGAUCAUUUACGUGUUAAUAAAGAAUAAAAAAUGAAUUAGUAAUGCAGGAAUUGGUAA
rnacentral:lncRNA from 1 species